CAAAAGCCCCCCCCCCCAGUCCAUCUCCGUCUAUCUCUCGUCAGUUUAAAUCUGGAACUUAAUGUAUUUUAACAAAUAAAUGCAAUUGUUUUAAAAGAUAAUUUACAUUAAGAUUUAAAUUUAAAGGUACAAAAGUUCUAAUUUGAUUUAUUGUGUAAUUCGUACUUAUAAUUCAUUGAUGAUAUGAAUGUUUUUAUGUUUACUUUAUUAUAUAUUGUGCAGUACAAAUGUAAAUUAAUAUUUUCAGAGAACCGCUUUUCAAAGCUUAUCAAGGAAAUAAAAUUGAAAGGCGCAUACUUGUCUAGAUUUAUUUGAAGUAUAACCCAAGUUCCCGAACACUGGGCGUGUAAAAAUAGAAAGUAAUCAGUCUGGUCUAUAAACCUUAGGGAGGCUUUUGUUUGAUGGACGGGGGUGGGGGGCUUUUGUCCUGUGUGUAAAUUUAAUGUGGGUCUUUUGUUUUACCCGCUUAUUAUUGUUAUCACAAAAAUUUGUGUAAUUUAUAAAUAUUUCUUAGCGCUUCUAAAACGUCUUUUAUUAUUAUUAUUAUUAUUAUUAUUAUUAUUAUUAUUAUUAUUAUUAUCAUCAUCAUCAUCAUUAUUAUAAUUAUUAUUACUAUUAUUAUUAUUAUUAUUAUUAUCAAAAAAAUGAAUAACCGAUUGAGCAUUAGAAUCAAAGUUUUGCCUAUGAAAAAGUAUCAAUGGUUAUGUUAUACAUAUAUGCAAAGUUAUCGUUUAUGGAUACAUGAUAUUUCCAAUUUAAUAUUGCAUUAUUUUGGAUCGAAUAAAGGUCUUAGUAUGCUGGUUUCUUACGCAUUAUCACCGACCUUAGUAUAAAUCCGUGGCAUUAUUAAUGCUAAAUGCUUUAUCACACAAACGGUAUCUAGGCAUAUCAAGCGUUUUCAAAACAGCCAAUGAGUUUAAAGCGUUGGUUUUGUAUCACGUGAAUCCUAUCAACCAAUCAGAAAUAGCGCGGGCGAAAUGAAAAAAGAAAAAACGGGAUUGGAAAUGGAUAGUAAAUAAAAUUCAGAAUAUUGCAAAACAAGGUAGGUUAAAAGUUAUUUUUUAUCGUUGCAAUAUCAAUAUGCGAUCAAUAGAAUAGUUGCAUUUUGUGAACAACAGCUUAUUUCAGGGUUAAACUGAUUUGUUUUUAGAAAACUUUAACACUGUUUAAUCUGUUUCGCUAUCCAAUAUGGCCGCCGGAUUAGAUAAUUAAAGCAGGGAUAUAUCCCUAAAUUUAGACUGGGAGGUUACGAGUUUGAUUUUGAUUUCUAAACUGUAUCUUGUUUCAUUAAUAAUUUGUAUGAAAAAUGCAAAAACAAAAAAAAAUGAAAAGGGCAUUUGUUAAAUGCGUUAAUCAUAACUCCCUUCAGGGUAAAAAAGACACCGAGUUAAAAAUUACGAUAUUUUAACACCGAAGAUGUCAAGGUAUUACAGCCCCUGGACAUGGUAGUACAAAGGGAUUAAUCAGUGUGUGUGACACGACCUAUGUAUGCUUAAUUGGUCAACUGAUUGGACUUUAUAAUCUUAAGCGAUCUCAAUUAUCACUUAACAGCAGGGGUGCGAAUCAAUGUGCAAGAAAGAUCAUAUCGAAAAGAGACACUCAAAUUCUAUUUAUUUUAAUAGUAAUUUAUGAAAUUGAUAGCCGAAAAAUAGGUUAUGUUUUAUCUAUUCAAUAUAAUAACAAAAAUUAUCAGAUUUAACAGAUUAACAUAUUUUAAAGGAAAAUUGCUUAGUACUUCUAAAAAAUAGGUUUUUAAAUUUUCAGAUAAAAUUGUUUCUCAGUCUUGAUAAUUUAACGAGCAGAAUACUUGUUUUAUAUUCGCAGUUUUUAUUUUUAUACAAAUCCCCAUUAUUUGAUGCAAACAUAAGUCAAUUUAAAGACUCCGCUCUUUUCAAUUUUAUUCACUUUUUUUAAGUUUCUGUACACAUGUUGUUAUAUAUUUCUUAUUUAUAUUAACCUAUUCUUAAAUGAAUACAAAUCUUAAACAAAAAUAGGAAACAAACAUUUCUUUUUUAUUUAAAUCAUAAUACAUUUAGAUGAAUAAAUAAAAUGAAAAUAAUUGUCAGAAUUUUUUAUUUACACUAAUACAAAGAAUGUGUAUGAUUGCAUGUAAUAUGACCGACAGGUGUUAAGUUUAACAGUUAACUGUUAAUUCACUUACCCUUGGUGUCAAAACAUAUGAGCCGCGUCAGGACAAAACCAACAUAAUGGGUUUGCGACCAGCAUGGAUCCAGACCAGCCUGCGCAUCCGCGCACUCUGAUCAGGAUCCACGCUGUUCGCUAUCGGUUUCUCUACUUGUUAUAGAGUUUGUAAGCGAACAGCAUGGAUCCUGAUCAGACUACGCGGAUGCGCAGGCUGGUCUGGAUCCAUGCUGGUCGCAAACCCAUUGUGUUGGUUUUGUCGUGACGCGGCUCAUAUGUUUAUUUUUACAUUGAUACGAAGCUUAGAUCAGGAGCCUGUUGUCGGUGAAAUAAUUUUAAAACUCGUGAAUAUAAAAUAUCGCAACGAACCAGAAGUUUUAAAACGGUUUUGUUUGUAUUGUUUUAGCAUUAAUAGUAAUUAGCAAGAUCGAGUUUACUCGCUAUUCAGGACAGACAACUCUUGGUUUUCAUUCGAUAUUUUUGGUUAUUUAUCUACGUUAUUCAGGAUUACCCAGAUUUUAAAUUGUAUAUACAUGAACUGAGUUUUCGACAUUUACAAUGGAUUUUUUAUUGGACAAAUUAAAAUUUAAAUAUUUUUUUCUUAUUAUAAUUAAAACUCUUUGUUUAGUUUUUAAGAUAAACAUUACGCAUCAGGUGAUAUCGCAUGGGUCAGUCACAAACACGCGCCUGUUUGAGGAAACAGUUAUUUAAUAUUUCAUUAUACAUGAAUUUAAACGCUUGAAAAACUAUUUUGAGCCUUUGUACAUCACACAUUUUUCGACAUUCCAUAUUUUGACUUAUAUUUCACAUAAAGCAAUAUGGUAAUACUCGCACGCACGAACACACAAAAUACAUAACUACACAUGCACAUAAAAGUGAACACGUUCCUACAGUAUUAACACUUUCGCACAUGUGAUCACUUAUGAAAUAUGUUCAAUGUGCUCUUUAUCAUUUUAUGCUGAAGUUAUAUUAUGAUUUUUCAGGACAGUUAAAUCUUCUAGAAAUGCAGCUGUGCCCUCUUUACAGCAAUUGUAGAUGAAGCAAAGUAUGGUAGCAAGUUAUAUAGAUAUACACACAUGCCGAAGAAGAUUGUAAUAUCUGGAGAUAACAUUUCCUACGUCACGAAAUAGACACCGUCACACUGGUCUACGUAACAUUCCUAUAGAUGAUUGAUAUAUUUAAGUGCUUUUAAGAACUGUGUUUGAAUGACGAAUUUCUGUGAAUACGGAUUUUUAGUUUUAAUUAUUAUUAUUUAAACUUUCUGUAAUAAUCAAUUUGUGCUAUGAACUCAUUUUCCUAAAAUAAUAUGUGAAUGUUAACACGAACAAAUGAUAUGAAUAUCUUCAAAAUAUUUUAUGGGUGUAAUACAAGUGGCUCAUAAAAAUCAUUGUUAAGAUAAAUAGAAUCGAAUUUCAAGUUGGUAUAGUUUGUUCUAGAUUUAAACAACAUGCAAUUCAUAAAGGUUACGGCUUGAAAAUAUCGAAACAUGUACAUGUAUAACUCGAUCUCUAUGAUACGUAUUUCAUGACUCUGUAUCGCAUCAUACCGGUAUAUCGCCGUUCCGUUGCAACGCUACAUUAAUUUGUCCCUCUGGAAUAAGGCUUGCAACAAUAUAUGACUGUUGUAGCGAAGACAUGUUUAUUUUGUUUAAUAUAUGUAUACAUAUUGAAUAUAUGUUUAUGAAAUAAUAAAUAUUUAAGAGUGA